AUUGAACGCUGGCGGCAGGCCUAACACAUGCAAGUCGAACGAGUGGAGGACGGGUGAGUCAUGGAUGGGCAACGGACUGAGGGCGGGGGUUAGCUACUGGCAACGGAUACUAAUACCGCAUACCAGCGCAUGUGCCCAGAUGGGAUUAGCUAGUGGGUGGGGUAACGGCACACCUAGGCGACGAUCCCUAGCUGGUCUGAGAGGAGGACCAGCCACACUGGAACGGAGACACGGUCCGUACUCCUACGGGAGGCAGCAGUGGGGAUUAUUGCACAAUGGGCGAAAGCCUGAUGCAGCCAUGCCGCGUGAAUGAAGAAGGUCUUCGGGUUGUAAAGUACUUUUAGCUGGGAGGCGUUACCCGAAGAAGAAGCCCCGGCUAACUCCGUGCCAGCAGCCGCGGUAAUUC
rnacentral:rRNA from 1 species